CCUACGGGUGGCAGCAGUGGGGAAUAUUGGGCAAUGGGCGCAAGCCUGACCCAGCAACGCCGCGUGAAGGAAGAAGGCUUUCGGGUUGUAAACUUCUUUUCUCAGGGACGAAGAAAGUGACGGUACCUGAGGAAUAAGCCACGGCUAACUACGUGCCAGCAGCCGCGGUAAUACGUAGGUGGCAAGCGUUAUCCGGAUUUAUUGGGUGUAAAGGGCGUGUAGGCGGGAGCGCAAGUCAGAUGUGAAAACUCAGGGCUCAACCCUGAGACUGCAUUUGAUACUGUGUUUCUUGAGUGCAGGAGAGGCAAUCGGAAUUCCGUGUGUAGCGGUGAAAUGCGUAGAUAUACGGAGGAACACCAGUGGCGAAGGCGGAUUGCUGGACUGUAACUGACGCUGAGGCGCGAAAGCGUGGGGAGCAAACAGGAUUAGAUACCCCUGUAGUC
rnacentral:rRNA from 1 species